rnacentral:rRNA from 1 species
CCUACGGGAGGCAGCAGUGGGGAAGUCUUGCGCAAUGGGCGAAAGCCUGACGCAGCCAUGCCGCGUGAAUGAUGAAGGUCUUAGGAUUGUAAAAUUCUUUCACCGGGGACGAUAAUGACGGUACCCGGAGAAGAAGCCCCGGCUAACUUCGUGCCAGCAGCCGCGGUAAUACGAAGGGGGCUAGCGUUGCUCGGAAUUACUGGGCGUAAAGGGAGCGUAGGCGGAUAGUUUAGUCAGAGGUGAAAGCCCAGGGCUCAACCUUGGAAUUGCCUUUGAUACUGGCUAUCUUGAGUUUGGGAGAGGUGAGUGGAACUCCGAGUGUAGAGGUGAAAUUCGUAGAUAUUCGGAAGAACACCAGUGGCGAAGGCGACUCACUGGCCCAAUACUGACGCUGAGGCUCGAAAGCGUGGGGAGCAAACAGGAUUAGAUACCCUGGUAGUCCACGCCGUAAACGAUGAGUGCUAGUUGUCGGCANNNANNNAUGUGUGACGCAGNACGCAUAGACACUCCGCCGUCGGAGGUACGGUCGCGAGAAUAAACUAACAANAGAAUAGAGCGNGAGAGUAGCGACGACGACGACGAGGGAGGAGG